rnacentral:rRNA from 1 species
CCCUUAGAUGUUCUGGGCGGCCCGCGCACUACAUUGGCACUCUCAAUAAGUUCCUAGAUCUAAAACUUUGGGGUAUUCUAUUAAGUGGUGUCGUGACUGGGAUUAACCCUUGCAAUUAUUGGUUACGAACGAGGAAUUCCUUGUAAUCGCGGUUUAUCAGCCCGCGUUGAAUGCGUCCCUGCCCUUUGUACACACCGCCCGUCGCUCCUACCGAUGAAUCGUCCGGUGAAGUUCAUGGAGUGGUGGUUGUUCCAGCUGCUGUCGAAGUGAAAUGGCCCUCACGAUUUAGAGGAAGGAGAAGUCGUAACA